CUCGAACAAUUUUGAAACCUUUGAUAAAAGGUUUUACAAGGCAUUUUCAAGAAAAUAAAAUUAAUUAAAUUGAAAUUGUCGAUAGAAAUUUCAUGGCUGAUUUUCAACUAUGUUUUAUCAAUGAUUUUGAAGGAGAUAUCUUAAACGCUUCACAACUUAUAGCAUAUGUUAAAGUUGAGAAUCCAGCUGUGAUAUGUAGAUCGAGAAUCUGAAGUCUUUCUUUAUUAAACCUUGUCUUGAAAUUGCGAAGUGUUUUCAUUGGACCCUUAAUGCAUCUGCAUGAAUGAUGCGACCGUCUUCUUGACAUGCUUGCUGUUUGUGAAGAAAGCGGAUUAUUUAUCAUGCAAGUCUAAGAAAUAAGCUAUGGAGUCAGGUUCCAAUGUGUAAAAUCAAUCUCUAACUGCAUUAGUAAAGGUUUGAGGAAAGGCCUUACACAUUAUCGCAUCAGGUGCAACCUGUUGGUUCGUGAUAUCUGUAUAUAUGUUCAAAUGACUGAUGGGAUCGAUUGUCCCUUCAUACUCCUUUACCCGAGGACACUUAAUUCUGUCCGACAACGGGUAUGAUAAGACUUCAGGGGUGAAAUGGGUGUUAGGGGUAAACCCUGUUGUUGCUUGAGUAGUUAGAAGCAUACCCCUUGCAAUCUUAUAUUGAAUGAUCCUAGCAAGUUCAGUAGAGUCCAUUGUAAUCCAUCUCAAGCUCGAUGCCAAAUAAGGUAUGCCCAAAGUUUCGACAUCAUUUUUGCUAGGACGUGAAGUCUAAGCUCGAGCAUCUUCCAUAAGACCACCCUAUAGCCGUGGUGCUGGGUGUAGAUUUAUUUGAUUUAGUAACUGAGUUAGUGUGGCAACUUGUUGGCAGGGCCCUUCAAACAUUCGAAGGGCAAUGACUGCUAAUAGAGGUGUUGUUUUCCCUGAUGAUUCCUCCUGCGGAAUCGAAGGAUCUUCAGCGUAUGGCUUAUUAGGGACAGAUGAGUUUGCUUGAAGAUGUCCUAAACGUGUAUUAACCAUAACUUUUGAUAGCGAUUUACAUAGAAAGCGUUAAUGAUGGUGCCAAAUAUUUGGGGAUUUUCGAGCUUGAAGAUAGAGAAUGAGCAGAGACAAUAUCUUUCGAUAUUUGAAAUAAAGGGAUUGAGGUGUGUUUUUGUCACCCCUCUAAUGCUUGAGUUAGAGAAAGAAUUUGUGCGUGGGACUACAAACUGAAAAC
rnacentral:lncRNA from 1 species